AAACUCGGGCUAAUACCGGAUAUCCCCACCAGGUCGCAUGGCCAGGUGAGGAAAUGCUCCGGCGCUUCGGGAGGGUCUCGCGACCUAUCAGCUAGUUGGUGAGGUAACGGCUCACCAAGGCAUCGACGGGUAGCUGGUCUGAGAGGACGAUCAGCCACACUGGGACUGAGACACGGCCCAGACUCCUACGGGAGGCAGCAGUGGGGAAUCUUGCGCAAUGGGCGAAAGCCUGACGCAGCCACGCCGCGUGAGGGAUGAAGGCUUUCGGGUUGUAAACCUCUUUCAGCAGGGACGAAAAUGACGGUACCUGCAGAAGAAGCUCCGGCCAACUACGUGCCAGCAGCCGCGGUAACACGUAGGGAGCAAGCGUUGUCCGGAUUUAUUGGGCGUAAAGAGCUCGUAGGCGGUUUAGUAAGUCGGGUGUGAAAACUUGAGGCUCAACCUCAAGAGGCCACUCGAUACUGCUGUGACUGGAGUCCGGUAGAGGAGUGUGGAAUUCCUGGUGUAGCGGUGAAAUGCGCAGAUAUCAGGAGGAACACCGACAGCGAAGGCAGCACUCUGGGCCGGUACUGACGCUGAGGAGCGAAAGCAUGGGGAGCGAACAGGAUUAGAUACCCUGGUAGUCCAUGCCGUAAACGUUGGGCACUAGGUGUGGGGUCUAGCUAACAGAUUCCGUGCCGCAGCUAACGCAUUAAGUGCCCCGCCUGGGG
rnacentral:rRNA from 1 species